UACGUAGGGUCCGAGCGUUGUCCGGAGUUACUGGGCGUAAAGGGCGCGCAGGUGGCGGUGUUGGCCCGGCGUGAAAGCCCCCGGCUCAACCGGGGAGGGUCGUCGGGGACCGCACCGCUUGAGGGCGGUAGGGGCUGGUGGAAUGCCUGGUGUAGUGGUGAAAUGCGUAGAGAUCAGGCGGAACACCCGUAGCGAAGGCGGCCAGCUGGGCCGUCCCUGACACUGAGACGCGAAGGCGUGGGGAGCGAACGGG
rnacentral:rRNA from 1 species